rnacentral:misc_RNA from 1 species
AUGCGAUAAGUAGUGUGAAUUGCAGAAUUUAGUAAAUUAUCGAAUCUUUGAACGCACAUUGCGCCCCUCGGUAUUCCGUAGGGCAUGCCUGUUCGAGCGUUAUUUACCCCCUUAAGUACUGCUUGGUGUUGGGCGUUGUCCCGCUUCGGCGAGGACUCGCUCUAAAGGUAUUAGCAGCGUCCGUGCUAGCUUCUUGCGCAGCACAAUGCGUUCCUAAGGCGGCCGGUCAGCGUCCAUAAAGCCCACAUCUUAGUUUAACCUCGGAUUAGGUAGGGAUACCCGCUGAACUUAA